GCCCAGCUGACGAGUCCCAAAUAGGACGAAACGCGUGUCCUGGAU
rnacentral:hammerhead_ribozyme from 1 species